AAGUGGAGCAAUCCAUGAGUAAAGUGGCGUACGGGUGAGUAACACGUGGGGAUCUACCCUUUGGUGGGGAAUAACCUGGGGAAACCCGGGCUAAUACCGCAUAAGUCCGCAAGGAGAAAGUCGCAAGACGCCGAUGGAGGAACCCGCGGCCGAUUAGCUAGUUGGUGAGGUAAAAGCUCACCAAGGCAACGAUCGGUAGCCGGCCUGAGAGGGCACACGGCCACACUGGCACUGAAACACGGGCCAGACUCCUACGGGAGGCAGCAGUGGGGAAUCUUGCACAAUGGGGGAAACCCUGAUGCAGCGACGCCGCGUGAGUGAUGAAGCCCUUCGGGGUGUAAAGCUCUUUCGACGGGGACGAUUAUGACGGUACCCGGAGAAGAAGCUGCGGCUAACUACGUGCCAGCAGCCGCGGUAAUACGUAGGCAGCGAGCGUUGUUCGGAAUUACUGGGCGUAAAGAGUGCGUAGGCGGUUCGGCAAGUCUGGUGUGAAAUCUCCCGGCUUAACUGGGAGGGUGCGCCGGAAACUGCCGGGCUAGAGUGUGGGAGAGGAAAGUGGAAUUCCUGGUGUAGCGGUGAAAUGCGUAGAUAUCAGGAGGAACACCUGCGGUGUAGACGGCUUUCUGGACCACUACUGACGCUGA
rnacentral:rRNA from 1 species